UACGGAGGGAGCUAGCGUUGUUCGGAAUUACUGGGCGUAAAGCGCACGUAGGCGGCUUUUUAAGUCAGGGGUGAAAUCCCGGGGCUCAACCCCGGAACUGCCCUUGAAACUGGAGAGCUAGAAUCUUGGAGAGGCGAGUGGAAUUCCGAGUGUAGAGGUGAAAUUCGUAGAUAUUCGGAAGAGCACCAGUGGCGAAGGCGACUCGCUGGACAAGUAUUGACGCUGAGGUGCGAAAGCGUGGGGAGCAAACAGG
rnacentral:rRNA from 1 species